rnacentral:rRNA from 1 species
GAUGAACGCUGGCGGCGUGCUUAACACAUGCAAGUCGAACGGAGUGGCGAACGGGUGAGUAACACGUGGGUGAUCUGCCCUGUACUUCGGGCUAAGCCCGGGAAACUGGGUCGAAUACAGGAUAGGAUGGGAUGAGCUGGCGGCCAAUCAGCUUUUUGGUGGGGUAAUGGCAUACCAAGGCGUCGACGGGUAGCCGGCCUGAGAGGGUGUACGGCCACAUUGAGACUGAGAUACGGCCCAGACUGCUACGGGAGGCAACGGUGGGAAGUAUUGCACAAUGGGCGCAAGCCUGAUGCAGCGACGCCGCGUGGGGGAUGAAGGCCUUCGGGUUGUGAACUCCUUUCGCUAGGGACGCGGUACCUGGAGAAGAAGCACCGGCUAACUACGUGCCAGCAGCCGCGGUAAUAC